GCAGGCGUAGCUCAAGGCAGAGCGCCCCGACUCCAACUCGGGGAGGUGCAGGUUCGACUCCUGCCGCCUGCGC
rnacentral:tRNA from 1 species